CCUGCAGGCAAAGCACUACCUUUGCCCCUAGCACUGCCAGGGUGGCCUGACUGUUUGCAAGCACCCAGGUGAGACAGAAAUGCAGCCUUCAUCAGCCUAUUCCAAGGCCAGCUGUGCCUGCCAGCUGCUUCCUAGUACUGCCAGGAUGGCAGUAUUUGCACUAAUGAAAGCCCCACCAGUUCCUGAAGCCAUGAGCAUUUUAAAAGGUAAGGUGUUACGUACACUGAGAAAAAAAACCUGAAAAUACAUCUUGUAGAGGCUGAAGCCCUGGAAACUGAAAGUUUCCAGCUGUUUGCUGCUCUGGAGGGAGUGAAGGAGAAGAUCUAAGGCAAAGAAGAUUAGGAACCAGAAGCAAUUCUGAAAGUCUACAGCCUUGAUAUCCAUAGACUUCCAUCUCAUGUCGGCAUUCCUGUUAUCAAGACACUCCCUCUGAAGCUAUGGAGUUGCAGAGCUGUUUGCAGGUGGUCCAGCUGACUCUUAUAUGAGGCAAUGACCUUCUCUGCACUGUAACAUACUGGUGCUGGACCUGGCUGUAUGUGAAUUCCUCGCAGACGAGAGUUAGGAGGAGCACUGACUACGUGGUACCCAGCAGCUAGCAAAUUGCAUACCUGCUCUACGUGGGAACCCAGCAGAGCGGGAUGGCCCAGGGCCUCAGCAGAGAGCUUCCUGGGAUCUCGGCCAUAUGGCACACUGCACUGGUUACUCGUGAAGAGGUUCACUUGAGGCUUUCCUAUACAUGUGGUUAACAAGACAGUCUACUUCUUCAGCAGGUUUCAAUUAGUGUGGCUGCUCUGUGGGCGGCACUGGCUCAGUCUGGCAGCUUUGCCAAUGGUCUCAGUUGGCUUCUCUUACUUUUGCUUGCAUGACUCUGGGUCUUCUGCUGCUGAUAGAAGAAACGCCUUUUCUGACUGCACUGCAAGGGGCUCUGGAGACACCUGAGCUGUAGGUAGCGUACAGCUGGCACAUCUGAAUGUAAUGCCAGUCAGCAAGCUGGGAGAAAGGACUGCUAUCAUCUUGGGUGUCCUCAGGGGAGGAAAGGGUGAGUGCUCUGAAACUCUUCCUAUUCCAGCUGUGUCUUUUCCCCUCCACGGAGCCUGAGCCUCCAGGAGGCUCCUGCCCUGAGCAAAGUGGCUGGGGAUGAGGGUAAAGGGCUGCUGUAAUGGGGAAGUCCAAGGGCUACCAUAGAACCUUCUGCCCCCCCCUCCCCCCAAGAGCCAUGUCCUGCUGCAGCGGGACUUGAGCAGCCAUGAGGAGAGGAGGAACUGAAGGUCUGAUCUGGGUGCUCUGACUCACUACUCAGCUGAGCAGGAAGCAUGAGGGGACUCAACUGGUGUGAUCAGGAAAACAGCAGGAGCUGGCUUUUUGAGAAGGAACUGGAACAGAGAAACCUUUGUGCUUCCUGCAGGCAUGUGGUAGGGAGAAGGGACGGUUUUAGACCUGUUUUAUUGUGGUGAAAAUUGAGAGGGUCGUGCCGCCAUGCUUGGCGCUAGCUGUGUAGGUAGCUGUCGUGGUGGUGGAGGGGAGGUCAGUGUGUGGAGUGACACUUGUUGCUCUUUGUCACACUGCUGGCAUUCUGUGAUAGGUUCCAAAAGCAUUCGGAAAUCCCAAACAGAGUCAGAAAUUAAAAACGGGUGGUGGUUUGUGGUUCAUAUGACAGAAGGCAUAAACCAGCAGGGAAGUGUGUACAGGUGACAUUGAGCCACUGGCUGUAGUUUUAAAUGCUGAAAUAAGCGAUGCUGAUUGUUUCACGAAGCCAAGUUCCUCAUCCAGCUAUUACAGAGCUGACAUUUGGGAAAUCAGAUGCACGUGUAGCCCUUACGGACAGACUCUGCUUUGCAUGAGCUUUGCUGAGAUUUGCACCGCCAGGCAUCUCACUUCUGUUUGUCACUGUGAUUGCCUUCUUGGCAAUGCAUCGUGCCAUUUACUGCCCCUCAUGUCCUUAACUGGAAUUAGCUGCCACCCCCUCUCCCAAUGGCUCAAUCACAGCUCUCCAGCAGCUCAGCUCCUUGUUUCCCUCUGCUGCCAGCCUACUCUGCAAUCACCUUUGCAGUAAGAACGGUUUUGCAUUGGUGUCCCUGUCUCCCUCCCAAAGAGCUGCCUAGCCCUGUCCCCUCAGCCAUGGAAAAACUAUUUUCAAACACAAGAGCAAAGAGGAAGACUUUCAGCAGCUGUAAAGCUCUACUUUUCCUGGGAGGUGCUCUGUCAUUGCCAGCUGCCAGGGAUGUCAGUGAUUUUUGCUGAUGAUGGGAGAAUUGCAUUUGAACUAAAGAGGCAAAGGGAUUAUCUUUAAGCUAACACACUGAAUGAGUACUGCCCUCAUUUUUGCUGCACUGAGGCCCCUCAUGAUCACAAACAGCUCCUUUCCCCUCUGUAGCACUUGUACAGAGGGGAACUGACCGCAUUUAACAGGCCAACGUAGUCUGAAGUGAGGUUUGCAUGAGAGCUACAAUGCCUAAUCCCAGCCUGGCAAAUAUAUACUGUUUGAUGUGCUUUGGGCAGUCUUUUGCAGGUGAGCAUUGCAAUGAACAGCGAGAGCAUCUGUAAGUAUGUGUGCUACUGCCCUUUGUGUUGAGAUGGUGCCACGAGGCCAGGCAGCUGACCUGCCUCCCACAGACCAGAGAGUGCUGACACCACACAUGGUGUCCUGGCAAACAUUUGGGUUAGAAAUGUCUGUAUUAGCUGGCCAUGUGGAAGGGAGAUGUAUUGCUGCUGUGCAACUGAGGGCAAAGAGACAGCCCCCAGCACUCAUGCAGCUCAGGAUCUGCCUGCAGCACAGCUCAGCACUGUGCUGUCAGGGGGCAGAGCUGAAGGCCCUGUCAGCCUCACGGCAACACAGGCAGCUCAACCCCAAGUGGAGCAGGUGGGACAGAAGGUCCCCACCGCAGCCAUCGAUGUGCCCAACCAAACCCUACUUCCCUGUGCCAGACACUCAAUGUCAAAUCUCUCUUCGAGAGACCGCAGCAGAAAAUCUGAGAAGCAGGAAAGCAUCAUCUGUGCCAGCUGCAGGAGGAUUAGGAGACCUGCCCAGUGUGUGAGUGAAGCCAAUAGCAGAGUGAGAAGCAAAUGCAUGAUGAGUGACUCAGGCUCCAGGCUGGCCCAGCCCAAGGGGUGUGAACCUGCAUCACCUCUUGAGCAGCUCCAUCCCACCCAGGGACCUCUUGCCAUCGUCCCAUCAGGACUGAUGUGCUGCCAGAAACCAGAAAUAGUAUCCUGAAGAAGAAAAAAAAGUGUGUGUGGGGGGAGGGGGACGUUUGUGCUGUAUCAAUGUGUUCUGGUUUGGGUUUUUCAAAACAAAAUGCUUCUGGCCUUUGCUUGGAAAAGGAUUUUCAGCUUUAUUUGUGUGCAAAAGCGCUGAUUAUGUGUUACAAUGGAAGGAGUCAAAAUCAAAAGGAAAGGAAAUAGAACGCUGAAAGAGACAACGGCCUGGAGAAAAACCAACCCCAGACAGCUGGGAAAUCCCAGCUCUUUGUCUGCAGAUAGAUCUGAAAAGACCAAGGGGUUUUUCCUUUGAUUCUCAGGUUUGCCCUGAAUCCAAAUGAAAGCUAAUACUGGUAUAGCUGACUUCUGCGAAGAGAAAACAUCCAUUUUUGAUUCUCUUUCCAUAUUUCCCCCCCCCCCCCCAUGCUCUGCCUGCACAUGAUGCAGCCAAACAGGAAUUGGAGAGAGACGAAGAAAAUUUUCAUAAACACAGAAAAUAAAUUGCACACAAACAUCAAACCAAAGCUGGUGCAUUGUUAGCAGUGCUUUUCCAGAGCCUUGAUAUUUCCUGAGGACUCUCAUGGGUCUGCGGUCUCUUCCACCACAUCAAUCCCAGUACGUUGUAUGCUCAUUAGCCCGAAGAGCAUGCUCAUAUUUAUGGGGUUGGGAGUGGCACGAUGAGCUCCGUUCCCAAAGGUGGAAUAUUCACUGUGUGCUGCCAGACAUCAUGGUAAUUUGGGGUGUGUGGGGGCUGGAGGGCACAGCCCCAUACUUCGCAGCCUGCUGUGGAGCUCCUUGCUGCAAGUCUCAGCCCUCCCAGCAUGGCACGUGCUGAUG
ensembl:lncRNA